CAUCGAAAAAAGCCAGGCAUGGGUGCGUGCUCCUGUAACCCGAGCAUUGGCAGAGAUGAGCAGAUCCUGAGAUCUCUGGCCAGCCAGCAGCCUAGCAGAAACUUUUCUAACCUCAGGUUCCAUGGGAGAUCAUCUGAAGGAACAAGGCAGAGCAAUAGAGGAAGACACCCAAUAUCUUCUGUCCUACGCAUGUGUGUAUACAGCUCCCAGAGAUGCUGUCUAAGACAGGCAUGGUGGCUCGUGACUACAAUCUCAUCUCCUGAGUGGCUGAAGCAGGAGGACUACCAGGAGACGGAGGCCACAUGAAUAGGAUUGCUUCAAGUUUUUGGCCAGUCUCAGUCAUAUAACAAGACCCUGUCUUAGAAAAUAAACAGCCUGGGGUUGUGGCCCAAGUCUUUAAUUCUAGCACUCAGAGAUAGUGGAUGGCUCUCUAUGAGUUCAAGACCAGCCUGGUUUACCUGAGACCAUAUUUAGAAGAAGAAGAAAGAGGAAGAGGAGUCCUAGGUACUAGGAGUACAAGUGUGUACCACCGCAUCCGUAGUGAAUUCUUUCUUAUGGGCUCUUAAUUUGUUCUGGUCUUUUUCAUAUUACGCUUAUUGCAGAGCAGGAACAACUAUAAAAUAAAAAUUUAAAGGCAAACAC
rnacentral:lncRNA from 1 species